CAGGAAUUUCACAAGGGCAACAAACAAAACCUAACAAAGACCAAGUCUGUCUUUCGGGGAAUGGAUGUGGGGAAAUUGGAGAUCCCUGCUGAGCUGUCAGCCAGACUCUUCAGUGCUGCAGGGUUGCAGCAUUUGCUACGGGUAACAGAGGUUGCACCACCACAGGUAAAGGCAAAACACAAGCUAACCCUGCCUCUGGAUAUAGACAGAUACCCAUUCUCUCGCUAUGC